GGACCUGUAGCUCAGAGGUAGAGCGUAUGAUUCCAGCCCAAAAAGGAAAUACCCGCUUUGGGAAAUCCAUAAGGUCAUCCGUUCAAUCCGGGUCAGGUUCA
rnacentral:tRNA from 1 species